rnacentral:lncRNA from 1 species
AUUCCACCGCAGGACUCCGAAGAGGUGCGCCUAUGCUUGGCUGGGGCUGAGGUCACCAAGAGUCCUCUCGGAGGGACGUUACUACACGCGCUGGCGAGGCCCAGGAGUCGUGGUGCGAGGGGUACUAUCUGUGAAACGAGGGCUGCCUGUCCCAGCAGCCAGCUUUGUACAGAGACGUCCCGGAGCCACGAGAGAGUAACGGCUAACCCGGGGGAGGGGGUGGCGAGGGUGAUUCCAGGCACUUUGUGAAGAAACGAGCUAUGGCGAGGGAAGAAUCCACUUUGAAGAGCGGCCCCCGCCCUGCCCGAUACGUUACUUCCGGGGCGGGGCGGGCAGAGGGGCCCGGAUGUGCCGCCGCUUUUUAGUUUCUGAGGCGCCGGCGGUGUUCCUGGUAGCGUCAGCCUCCUGGCUUUUCCUUUUCCUGGACGCUUCAGGGCUCCGCGGCCUGCGCUAGACUGGAGGGUCCGCGUCACUCUCGCCCUCCUGCUUUCCGCGCUCUCACCCGCUCCCGCCUCCUGAGGGCACGACUUGUGGAGGAGCGCGGGCGGCGGGGCGUGAGCGAGCUGCCUCUGCCGCCAUCUUAGAGAAGGCGAGCGUGGGGUGUGCGUGGGCGCGAGUCGGCCUCCCGCGGUGCCGCCGCAGCGUGGCGCGGAGAGCUUUAAAAAAAAAAGUCUGGGGCCGGGCGUGGUGGCUCACGCCUUUAAUCUCAACACUUUGGGAGGCCGAGCGGGUGGAUCACCUGACAUCGGGAGUUCGAGACCAGCCUGACCAACAUGGAGUUACCCCAUCUCUACUAAAAAUACAAAAUUAGCUGGGUGUGGUGGCACAUACCUGUAAUCCCAGCUACUUGGGAAGCUGAGGCAGGAGAAUCGCUUGAACCUGGGAGGCAGAGGUUGCGGUGGGCCGAGAUCGCACCAUUGCACUCCACCCUGGGCAACAAGAGCAAAACUCGGUCUCAAAAAAAAAAAAAUAGUCUGGAAACAAUUCAAAUGUAUAUCAAUAGGAGGAUGGGAAGACAAAUUGUGGGCCCAGCACAAUGACUUAACACCUGUAAUCCCAACACUCUGGGAGGCCAAGCCAUGAGGAUCACUGGAGGCCAGGAGUUUGAGACUAGCCUGAGCAACAUAGCGAGACUCUGUCUUUACAAAAAAAAAUUAAAACUUAGCUGAGCAUGUUGGCACAUGCCUGGAGUCCCAGCUACUUGGGAGGCUGAGGCAAGAGAAUUGCAUGAAUCCAGGAGUUCAAGGUUGCAGUGAGCCGUGAUCACACCACUGUACUUCAGCCUGGGUGAGAGCAAGACCUUGUCUUUAAAAAGUAAAAGAGUAAAACAAAUUGUGAUACAGUCAUACGAUGGAGUAUUAUUGAGCAAGUCAAAGGAAAGGACUGCUGAUACAACACGGACAAAUCUCAAAAACAUUGCAUUUGGCAAAAGAAGCCAGACACAGAGUACAUAGCAUAUGAAUCCAUUUAUAUAAAAUUUAAGAACAGGAAAAAGUAAUCUGUGUUUAGUAUCUUCUUAUGGCAGAGGCAGUAGGUUGGGAUUUUAGUGGAAAGGAUUAUGAGGGAACAUGGUAGGAUGGUGAAAAUGUUCUGCACUGUCUCAGCUGCACUAAUGACAUAUAGCUAUUAAAAUCUAUUAAUUAAAACAAAAUUCAUUUCCACUGUCACAUUAGCUACAUUUUAAAUGUUCAAUAGCCACAUGUGGCUACUGCCUACUAAGUUGGACAGUGCAAAUACAGACUUCUGUUAUCUCAGAAGUUCUACUAGAGAGUUCUAGUCUAGACCUUGUUUUAUGCACAUGUUUACAUUUUUCAAAAUUGUAAUUAAUAUGCAUUGUAUGCCAGUAAUACCUGCCCCCAAACCCUAUAAAUCAUUAAUAGAAUUUUUAUUACUCUAUUUUAAUCUACUAAUUAGCCCAUGUUUUCCAUAAUAUUUUUGUUCAACCCUGGGGAGAAAGGAUAAAUAGUAAAAUUCUUGGCAAAUUUUCAAAUAUGUAAUUGUGACAUACAAUAGAUAGCAUUGAUUUUCCGCUCCAAAAAAUGAGUUCUGCUGCUUUAUAAUUUUGAAUGCAUCUAGAAACAAGAAAUUUCUUUUGAGGGCUUAAAGUGAACUCUAGAUGAAUACAGAAAAAAUUUUUUCUAUUGGAAUCAAGUAUCUUAAACGUGGCGAUCAUACAACCUUCUUCUAAGGUAACACUUAAGAGCGUUUUGGGAGAUUUUGGUGCUAGCUCUAUGACUAGGUUUAGAAAGUCAAAUAAGCUCGGUAGGUAACACUUCAGACUCAAGCCUUUUGGAAGUAGAAGAAAACUAAGUUUGUAAGUGAAGGAUAAAAAGACCUGAAUGAUCUCAAUUCUAAAAUUCUGAUUUUAAUGGAUUUUAAGAGAUGGAAUACCAGGUGAAUUGAUUCAAAAUAUUAAAUAUAUGUGUUUAUAUAGUACUUCAGUGAAAUUAAGAAAAAUUUUUGGUGGAGUAAGUACCUUAAUAAUGUUAAUAAAUAUUUCUACCAGUGUUUUUUAAGACCUUUGUGAACCCCAAGUAGAUUUUUACAAGACAAUGAACUUUAACUGUUAAAGAUUAAUUAUUAUAAAUGAAUCAGCAGUUCAUGUCAAUAAUAUGUGCUGGAAAGUAUUUUCUCAAUUAUUGUCAAUUAUAUAUAAAAAAUGAUUUUAUUUGAUCCAAAUUCUUUAACUGCCAAAUUCUUGUUUUCUUUCUCUCUCUCUCUCUCCCCCUCCCUCUCUCUCCCUCUCCCUCUCUCUCCCUCUCUCUCUGCCCCCUCCCUCUCUCCCCACCUUUCCCUCUCCCUCUGCCUCUCUCUCUUCCUCUCCCUCUCCCUCUCCACUUCCUCCCUCCCCUUCCCUUCCUCCCUUCCUCUACCUUUUUUUUUUCUUAUAAUGUAAUAUGUAGUCUGGAGAAAACAUCUCCCAAGUUCUGUUGGGCCAUUCUCCCUAUUGGAAGUAUACUAAUAGUAUCUGCUCACUGGAACAUGCCAUAUAUGUCACCUGCCCCACAUACUGAUAUCACAAUAAUAUGUAAAACCUUCAUUUAAAUUGUUUUUGAAUGUGUAUAUCAAUUGUUACAGCAUAUGACUGAACUUUUUUCAUCCUUAAAAAUUUUUUUAAGCAAUAUGACACAACCACUAAUGAAGAAAAAUAAAGAUUACUGAUUGACAUUACAU